UCCCUAAAUAUGUGAGUCCCUGAAGUUAGGAAUUAGAUCUCCCAACACCAGGUAUCCAAGAGAAAAUGGUUAAUAUCAGCAAGAAGAUCGAUUCUCAGCCUAAAUCCAAGGAAACAAUCUUUGACACGACCAGAUCAUCAAGCUUAAGACCCAUGUAGGGCUGAAAUUGGAUCGGAUACGGAUCGGAUAUCAUUAUAUCUAUAUCCAUAUUUAUUUUUUCUGAC
rnacentral:lncRNA from 1 species